rnacentral:rRNA from 1 species
UACGUAGGGGGCUAGCGUUGUCCGGAAUCAUUGGGCGUAAAGCGCGCGUAGGCGGCCCGGUAAGUCCGCUGUAAAAGUCAAAGGCUCAACCUUUGAAUGUCAGUGGAUACUGCCGGGCUAGAGUCCGGAAGAGGCGAGUGGAACUCCUGGUGUAGCGGUGGAAUGCGCAGAUAUCAGGAAGAACACCCGUGGCGAAGGCGGCUCUCUGGUACGUGACUGACGCUGAGACGCGAAAGCGUGGGGAGCGAACAGG